rnacentral:tRNA from 1 species
GGGAAGUUGGCUCAGUGGUAGAGUGCUUGCCUAGCAUGCAUGAGGCCCUUGGUUUGAUUCCAGCACCACAUA